rnacentral:rRNA from 1 species
UGGCGGCAUGCCUUACACAUGCAAGUCGAACGGCAGCACGGGAGCAAUCCUGGUGGCGAGUGGCGAACGGGUGAGUAAUAUAUCGGAACGUGCCCAGUCGUGGGGGAUAACGUAGCGAAAGCUACGCUAAUACCGCAUACGAUCUAUGGAUGAAAGCGGGGGAUUGCAAGACCUCGCGCGAUUGGAGCGGCCGAUAUCAGAUUAGGUAGUUGGUGAGGUAAAGGCUCACCAAGCCGACGAUCUGUAGCUGGUCUGAGAGGACGACCAGCCACACUGGGACUGAGACACGGCCCAGACUCCUACGGGAGGCAGCAGUGGGAAUUUUGGACAAUGGGCGCAAGCCUGAUCCAGCAAUGCCGCGUGCAGGAUGAAGGCCUUCGGGUUGUAAACUGCUUUUGUACGGAACGAAACGGUGAGCUCUAAUACAGUUUGCUAAUGACGGUACCGUAAGAAUAAGCACCGGCUAACUACGUG